CGUACACUCCUACGGGAGGCAGCAGUGAGGAAUAUUAGACAAUGGGUGGAAGCCUGAUCCAGCCAUCCCGCGUGCAGGAAGACGGCCCUAUGGGUUGUAAACUGCUUUUAUCUGGGGAUAAACCUACUUACGUGUAAGUAGCUGAAGGUACCAGAAGAAUAAGCACCGGCUAACUCCGUGCCAGCAGCCGCGGUAAUACGGAGGGUGCAAGCGUUAUCCGGAUUUAUUGGGUUUAAAGGGUCCGUAGGCGGACUGAUAAGUCAGUGGUGAAAUCCGACAGCUUAACUGUCGAACUGCCAUUGAUACUGUUAGUCUUGAGUAAGGUUGAAGUGGCUGGAAUAAGUAGUGUAGCGGUGAAAUGCAUAGAUAUUACUUAGAACACCAAUUGCGAAGGCAGGUCACUAAGUCUUAACUGACGCUGAUGGACGAAAGCGUGGGGAGCGAACAGGAUUAGAAACCCGUGUAGUCCC
rnacentral:rRNA from 1 species